GCCGUUGGUGUUUGGAGGAGGACGCCGGAAUCACCUGCGCGCACCUGCGGGUCAGUUGUACCGUACGUGGAGCCGGAUGCUCGCCAUCUGUGGAGGCUGCUUCAAAUGAGGAGUCUGUGGAAGGAUCGCGGUGCUUCAGACCUGACUGACAAACGGCCUACGAAGAAUGUCUUCCAAGAAUGUCAGAUAACAUGACAGACAGAAACAGAAUGUUACUGCCUGCAAGGUGCUUCUUAUUAAUUGGAGAGCAGCAAGUCAAACAGACACAGGGUGGAAGCUGGAAAAUAUAAAGGCAGCUUCAGCUCCAGAACCCUAACUUAACUUCCACAAGGACAACAACCCUAAAAAUACAGCCAAAGCAACUACAGAGCUUUUCAGGGUGAAGACGUGGAAUAUCCUUGACUGGCCGAGUCAAAUCAACUGACCUUAUUCCGACUGAGCAGGAUUCCACUUACUGACGACCAGACUAAAGGCAGAGAGAUCCCACAACCAGCAAGAGCUGAAGGAGGCUGCAGUGGAGAGCAUCUGGGAGAUCAUCACCAGGGAAGAUCUAAAGCGUCUGCUGGUGUCUGCAAGUCAAACACAGCAGGCAGUCAUUGACUUCAAAGGAUUUUCCACAAAAUAUCAAAUAUGAUGAUUUUGUUUGACUACAUGUGUAUCUGUGCAAUUACUUUCAAACGCCUAAACCUAGGG